AUUGAACGCUGGCGGCAGGCCUAACACAUGCAAGUCGAGCGGAGCGGCGGACGGGUGAGUAAUGCCUAGGAAUCUGCCUGGUCGUGUGGGAUAACGUCCGGAAACGGGCGCUAAUACCGCAUCCUCUCACAUGCGCCUAGGUCGGAUUGGCUAGUUGGUGGGGUAAAGGCCCACCAAGGCGAAGAUCCGUAACUGGUCUGAGAGGAUGAUCAGUCAAACUGGAACUGAGACACGGUCCAGACUCCUACGGGAGGCAGCAGUGGGGAAUAUUGGACAAUGGGCGAAAGCCUGAUCCAGCCAUGCCGCGUGUGUGAAGAAGGUCUUCGGAUUGUAAAGCACUUUAAGUUGGGAGGCGUUACCAACAGAAGAAGCACCGGCUAACUUCGUGCCAGCCGCCGCGGUAAUUC
rnacentral:rRNA from 1 species